GACGCAAAAGGGAUCAACGCAAUUGCAACAAGCGGUGUGUGAAGUGAAAGAGGCGAUAUUUUUCGGUACCCAGCAGAACCAAGUGCAUAGUAGCUACCAGGAGGACACCAGGGCCCGUGCUAGUAAAUCGGCUAAGAGCAACGACAGGCGGAAAGACGUUUUGGAUUCGCACGAAUAGAGGGAAAGUUGUAAACAGAUCUCCAUCGGAUCAACUCUGGUCUCGGCCCACAAGGGGCAGAUUAAGAUACGAAGUCAACCUGGACGCAGGCGUAAUGUGACGCUCCAGCUAUCACAACAGGAUGAUCAGUCGAGCGAAAAACAAAGCACAAAAAGGAAAUACGUGGAGAUGGAUGAGAGCGAAGAUGAAUUCAGGGGAUUCACACCCAGCCCUGAGCCACCACUUCCUGCGUCGCGUGAACUACAUCCUAAUUCGCUACGAUCCGGUCACCAAGUAUCUGAAACAACAGUUUCACAACAUCCUCCUAUUCUAAGGCGAUCUACACGGAAGAAAAAGAAAACAGUAUGUGAUGAAUACGUUUAUUGAACUGAAAUUGAAUUAUAUAAACUAGAGCUAAUUUUAGACUUGAAAUUAAUUUAUUACAAGAAGGCUAACUAAAGGGGGAAGAUAUUGUAACGUCUGAAUCAGUUGUAAGAAGUGAAAAUAGCCGGAGGCUGUGCCAUCCGAUAAACUGAUAAGCCCCUAGGUGCUGUUAUGAAUUUGUAUUGUAUAAAGUUAUAUAAGCUAUGUACACAAAAGUAGACAAUUGCUAUAUUGUUGUUAGUAUUUUUGGAUUCUAUAAAUAGCAUGAGAAAUAAAGAACGCAGAGUUCAGUUU